UACGUAGGGGGCAAGCGUUAUCCGGAAUCACUGGGCGUAAAGGGAGCGUAGGCGGUUUGACAAGCCAGAGGUGAAAGGCAAUAGCUUAACUAUUGUAAGCCUUUGGAACUGUCGAACUUGAGUGCAGGAGAGGAAAGUGGAAUUCCUAGUGUAGCGGUGAAAUGCGUAGAUAUUAGGAGGAACACCAGUGGCGAAGGCGACUUUCUGGACUGUAACUGACGCUGAGGCUCGAAAGCGUGGGGAGCGAACA
rnacentral:rRNA from 1 species